CGCCGCUGCGAAAGGGGUACGGUAGUUGUCGUGCCGAGACCCGAGGAGGCUUGCGCUGCGGCUAGCGUCGCGUACCCUCAGACCGACGUGGCUGCGCCGGUGCGCCUGACCUGUUUUACGUUCGAUUUUAUGGGUUUCACACGCAUUUCGCGUUCGGAAAAGCUUAUUCUGGAUGUUCACAGCCAUAAAACUAAUUAUUUUUUUCAAUUUUUAGCUGAAAU
ensembl:ncRNA F53G12.16 ncRNA